AUACGUAGGUGACAAGCGUUAUCCGGAUUUACUGGGUGUAAAGGGCGUGUAGGCGGUUUAGCAAGUCAGAAGUGAAAUUCCCGGGCUUAACUUGGGCGCUGCUUCUGAAACUGCUUUACUUGAGUGCUGGAGAGGAUAGUGGAAUUCCUAGUGUAGCGGUAAAAUGCGCAGAUAUUAGGAGGAACACCGGUGGCGAAGGCGGCUAUCUGGACAGUAACUGACGCCGAGGCGCGAAAGCACGGGGAGCAAACAGGAUUAGAUACCCUGGUAGUCCGUGCCGUAAACGAUGAAUACUAGGUGUAGGGGGUAUCGACUCCCUCUGUGCCGCAGUUAACACAUUAAGUAUUCCACCUGGGGAGUACGGCCGCAAGGUUGAAACUCAAAGGAAUUGACGGGG
rnacentral:rRNA from 1 species